rnacentral:rRNA from 1 species
UACGAAGGGGGCUAGCGUUGUUCGGAAUUACUGGGCGUAAAGCGUUUGUAGGCGGUUAUUUAAGCCAGUGGUGAAAGCCCGGGGCUUAACCCCGGAAUUGCCAUUGGUACUGGAUAGCUAGAGAAUGUUAGAGGAAAGUGGAAUUCCUAGUGUAGGAGUGAAAUCCGUAGAGAUUAGGAGGAAUAUCGAUGGCGAAGGCAGCUUUCUGGGCAUUAACUGACGCUGAGGAGCGAAAGCAUGGGGAGCGAACAGG